CAAAGGAAUGUGAAGUGUUCAAGACAGAAAAAUGUGUCCCAAAGAGUGCACUGGAGCUACAAGGUCUGAAGCCACCAAGAGCUGCAAGGCAGCUGUAUGGGGAGGGAAUAGGGAUGGGUGGGGUAUCAGGAAAGUAAGAGCAAGUACGAUGGCAUCAGAAUGGAGAAACUGGGCUGGGCACGGCAGCUCAUGCCUGUAAUCCCAACACUUUGGGAGACCCAGGCAGGAGGAUCAUUUGAGGCCAGGAGUUUGAGAUCAGCCUGGUCAACAUAGUGAGACCCCACGUCUAUAAAAAAUAAAAAUAAAGGGGCUGAAGUGGGAGGAUCACUUGAGCUCAGGAGGUCCAGCCUGCAGUGAGCUAUGAUCGCACCACUGCACUCCAGCCUGGGCGACACAGCAAGACGCUGUCUCUAAAACUAAAUGGCAGAGCGCGGUGGCUCACAACUGUAAUCCCAGCACUUUGGGAGGCCAAGGCAGGUGGAUCACUUGAGGUCAGGAGCUCAAGACCACCCUGGCCAACAUGGCAAAACCCCAUCUCUACUAAAACUACAAAAAUCUGCUGGGCGUGGUGGCGGGCGCCUGUAAUC
rnacentral:lncRNA from 10 species